UACGAAGGGGGCUAGCGUUGCUCGGAAUCACUGGGCGUAAAGGGUGCGUAGGCGGGUCUUUAAGUCAGGGGUGAAAUCCUGGAGCUCAACUCCAGAACUGCCUUUGAUACUGGAAAGCUCGAGUCCGGGAGAGGUGAGUGGAACUGCGAGUGUAGAGGUGAAAUUCGUAGAUAUUCGCAAGAACACCAGUGGCGAAGGCGGCUCACUGGCCCGGUACUGACGCUGAGGUGCGAAAGCGUGGGGAGCAAACAGGGAUUAAGAUACCCGUGUACG
rnacentral:rRNA from 1 species